UACAGAGGUGGCAAGCGUUGUUCGGAAUUACUGGGCGUAAAGGGCGGGUAGGCGGCCACCGCAAGUCAGUUGUGAAAUCUCCGGGCUUAACCCGGAAAGGUCAACUGAUACUGCGGGGCUAGAGUGCAGAAGGGGCAACUGGAAUUCUCGGUGUAGCGGUGAAAUGCGUAGAUAUCGAGAGGAACACCUGCGGCGAAGGCGGGUUGCUGGGCUGACACUGACGCUGAACUGCGAAAGCUAGGGGAGCGAACGGG
rnacentral:rRNA from 1 species